rnacentral:rRNA from 1 species
GACGAACGCUGGCGGCGUGCUUAACACAUGCAAGUCGAACGGAAAGGCCCUGCUUUUGUGGGGUGCUCGAGUAGCGAACGGGUGAGUAACACGUGAGUAACCUGCCCUUGACUUUGGGAUAACUUCAGGAAACUGGGGCUAAUACCGGAUAGGAGCUCCUGCUGCAUGGUGGGGGUUGGAAAGUUUCGGCGGUUGGGGAUGGACUCGCGGCUUAUCAGCUUGUUGGUGGGGUAGUGGCUUACCAAGGCUUUGACGGGUAGCCGGCCUGAGAGGGUGACCGGCCACAUUGGGACUGAGAUACGGCCCAGACUCCUACGGGAGGCAGCAGUGGGGAAUAUUGCACAAUGGGCGGAAGCCUGAUGCAGCAACGCCGCGUGCGGGAUGGCGGCCUUCGGGUUGUAAACCGCUUUCGCCUGUGACGAAGCGUGAGUGACGGUAAUGGGUAAAGAAGCACCGGCUAACUACGUG